rnacentral:miRNA from 1 species
CCCCGGGGAAAUGAGGAUGUGG